rnacentral:lncRNA from 1 species
CACUUGAAAGUUAGACAACUUGUCGUUGUGUAUUGUAAGUUGUCUACUCAUGAGUUUUAAAAGUGAUUGCUUAUGAUUAUCCAAUAUUAAAGUAAUUCAUCGUUAAAGAGGGUUCAUUAUUAUUAUUUAAAUCUCUUUUAUUUUUCAUUUUCUUUUUCCCUUCCCCAGUCACACAUUUUCCCUGACUUAACUGUUGUUAGUUUAGGUCGGGCUGUGACAAAGUGGUAUCAGAGCAGGUUGUUUGCUCUGAGCCUAAACAUUCCCUUGAGUCUAGUCUAAAUUUGAAUCUUUAGACUAAAAUGAGUAAUAUAGUAAAAGCUCUGCGCUCCAUCUCAUCCAGCAUAGCCAGGUACUGAUUUUCAGAGUUUUAAAGAAUCAAUUUACAGUUUGAAAGAGUUUGAGUUGUUAAUAUUGCAACUUUGCAAGAAAGUUAUUAAUAUUGCAAUUUUGCAAGAAUCUAGUAUUUGGAGAAGUUUACAUGUUUACAAGUGAGUGAAUAUGAAUAACAUGAGUUAUUUAUGAGUAUCCUCUGCCUAUACGAACUUUUGAGAUUUGAAUGAAUAAAAGUGUUAUUCAUAUAUUAAUAUUUAUAUUUUGAUAUGUGGAUGGAGAUAUAUAUAGACAGAUUGAUGAUACAAUAAUGAUGUAUAUCAGUCGCGAUGUAACCUAGUACUAGUAGUGAUGUUAUACAGUUAGGGCACCACAAUCAGUACUAAGAGCUUUUUGCAACAUAUAUUCCUAUCUUUCGUAUGAGAACUCAUUGAGGCAAAUUUUCUCAUGAUAUGAAGUGAUCAGAGUGGUCAUUUACUAGGUUAUUAUUGAGCUUUACUUGCUUAGAUGAUUGAAUUUUUGUGUAUGAGUUUUAUAACUUAGUUGGAUUAUAGUUAAGUAGGAGUUUGACUUUACUGAUGGGAUGAAAGCUCAAUUUUGGAGAUUUUGUGUAUUUACUCGGCAUGAUGUCUCAAAGAAGCAGUGGAAAUCUGCCAUCCGCCAUGUGAAUAAUUUAGAGAACUACUCGUCCCCAUCAACUUGAAAGAAGAAUAGCAGAAGUUUUUCAUCGUCAAGAUCCCUUUAUUGCGAGUUAAGCGGUAGAGUUUCAAAGAGGCAGUAGAGUUUUACGAGUUUCGCUUCCUUAGAUGCAAUGAUCAAGAGCGCCUUCUUGUAUGUUAUUUCAACUACAAGGAUCGACUUAUNAGUAGUGGGAGACGAAGCAGAAGAUAUAUACCCUCGAGCGAUUAGAGAAUCUUAUUUGGGGCCAGUUCACAGAAGUUUUUAUGAAGAAUAUGUUUCCAGAAGCCGUCGUCAGCAAAAAGGAGACGUAAUUUAACAAUUUAAAGCAAUAGAAGAAGACAGUAGCUGAAUGUGAUCAAGGGUUUUGUGAUAUAGCUGGAUAUAUGCCUUAUAAGGCUGACACAUAUAUUAGUUGUAACUUUUGAUAGAGUUUUGAUGUAGUGCCUUUGCUUGUUGGCAAACCAAAUAUUCUUUCAGCUAUUGCAAGCCAAACAUUCCUUCAACUAAUGAAGAUAUCUCUUUUCCAUUUCAUCCCUCCCACCAAAAGUUUUGUUUGAAAUCUUGAUAUAAUUUAGUGCUUCUGUGGUGGGCAGUAUAUAGCGUAUCAUGAGCUUUACUCGUGAUUUUAUUUCUCAACUGUUCAGUAUUGGGUACACAACUUUUCUCAAACAUGAUAGCAGUACCCCUAGCUUUUUGGCAAGUAUUGACCCCUUCUAUCAAAAUCCUUACCCAUAAUUUUUCUCCUUUUUAUUUUCCCCAUGUACUUUAACAAUUCUUCUUCUCAAAUCAAAAAUCAUUGUUAACAUUGCAAUUACAGCUUCUCUUGUUUGCUGUGGUAGAACCAUUUGUAAAUCCAACUUUCAAAUCCUUGAUGAGAAUUUUUCUUCAUGGGUAAGGAGAAAUCCUUAGUAAACUUGAGUUUUUCUACUCAAGGCAUCCACUAUUAUAUUGGCUUUGCGUGGGUGAUAAUUUAUUCUACAAUCAUAGUCCCUUACUAAUUCGAGCUAUAUUCCUUGUCUCACACUUAGAUCUUUUGCUCGAAUAAGUAUUUUAAACUUUUAUGAGGUGUAUCAAUUCCACAUCUCGUUUCAGAAUACCAUUGUUGCUAGUUCCAAGUUAUGUUGAGCAAUUCAGUUCUUGUGGUCUAUGUUCUCAUGACCCAAUAACAAUAACUCUUUCACUUUGCAACAAUGCACAACCAAGUCCAUCUUUGAUACACAGGACCAAUUUUAUAUGGUCUUUCAACUUUGAGAAUUCGGCCAUAUUUUAAAAUAGCCUUUCAUCCAACAACAGAUGAGCAAUUUGAGAGAAAUCUUUAAACCUUAGAAGAUGUGACAUAGACUAUUGUACUAGAGCGAAGAAGUGGCGACCUUAGCAGUAGGGACACUGGCGAUCGUAAGAAAUUCUGGGUUCCAAAACUCUCUUUCCAAAAAUGAUUUUUCAGAAGGAGCGAAUUCCCCGCAAACAAGGCAGGAGACGACUAUCUCAAGGUGCAUCACGCGUACUCAGAAGCCGCAUUAUGCACUAGAUUGAAGGAUGAAUUGGGAAAACCUUUUGCUAGUAAUUGAAUUGGCCUACAAUUAUAGCUUUCGGGCAAUAAUUGAUAUGACACCAUAUGGAGCUUAUUGUGGAAAGAAAUAUUGAUCUCCACUCUAUUGACAUGAGGUAAGUGAAAGAAAAGUAACAGGACCUGAUGCGCUUGAAGAAAUGAUUACGCUUAUCCGACAAAUUCAACAACUGCUCAACGAACCUCAAGAGCGACAGAAAUUUUUUUUUGUAGAUACUCGUUGAUUUGAUUUGAAAUUUUUGAAAUAGGGGAUGAAGUUUUUCUCAGUGUUCCGCAUUCUAAGAAUGCACAAAUUCGAUGUGAAAGAGAAGUAUCUAGCAUUAUUCUCUGACGUAGUCAAAUUUCGAGGACGAAAUUUCUUUAAGGGGGAGAGGAUGUAACACCCAGCAUUUUCACUACAGUAUAUAUAUUAUUUUCUAUUAUCUAAAAGAAGAAAGAGAAGUAGAAUCACUGAGAUGAGAUGAGAUAUUAUUAUAAUACCUUGAGCUUUUAAUUCAAUGAUUGCAUAAUUUGAAUAAUUAAGUAUUCUUGCUUUCUUUAUUAUUUUCAUUCUUGGAAGCAAGUUUAUAAUUCCUAGUUAAAGGGAUUAUUUUAUUAUUUUUCAGAGAUGAGAUUGGUGAUAAAUACGAAAUAUUAUUAGUCGACUUAUUGCUCGGCUAAUUGAAGUGACGGAUGUUAUUUAAUUAUUUAUCUAUGAGCUUUCUUUUUUUUUAAUAGUGAUAGUUUGAGGAAAUUUAGUAUAUCGUGGACGGAGGGAGUAUUAUAUUUCAUUGGGUGUAUAAUAAUUUAUUAAUUUAGAUAGCUAUCAAAUACUACUUGAGCUUGGAGCACAAGUUUCGUGAGUCAUAUUAGUGUAGAGAAUUGCUUUUCUAAUUUAUUCUUAUUUUUAUUUGAUCUAAUUUGAGGGCCACAAAAUAAGGCUUAUAGGAAAAGCCAAGUUUUACCUCUUAUUAUUUAUUUCUUCUACAAACCUCAAAUGGGCCGAUCAAGUAAGGGAAAUGAGGUUUGAAUUAUAUUGCUCAUUUCUAUAAUUGGAUUUAAAUUUUUAAUGUUUGAGAUAAGCAUUUAUUUAUUGUAAAGUGUAUAUAUUAGUUUGAGGAGAUUCAUUUCCUUUUCUUCUCCCCAAAACAGUCGACCUUCUCCCCUCUCUCUUUAUGGAACCUCAGUUUAGUUUGCUUUCAACCUUCAAGAAGAUUCAGCCGCCACCUCUGCUCCGACCGCCGUCGGCUGCCGUCGAGUCCAAGUCCGACGUCUCGUCUGUUCUUCCCUGGUGCCCCUCGCACUACUCUCAUCUUCUCUCAAUUUAGCGAAGAACCCAAAUGAGAAGCCCUAAUUUCAAAAUCCGAAAUCGCCGUCACCCGAGCCCGAAAUUCGGCAAUACAGCAUCCUCCUCUUCGACGUGGUCGAAGUUCUCGCACCGGAAGUCCUCGCCGUUCCCCCUUCUUUUCCGGUGUGGAGCCCUAAUUCUUAGUAGAAGGAAAUUACUACUGUCGCGACUGGAAGGCCAACGAACGGCUGAGCUUCGCCCAUCUCUGCCUUGAAUCCAUGCUCGAGAAGGAGAGAAAGGAAAACGAGCCCUAAUUCUUUUCUACUCCCGCCGUCAUGGUUCGGCUGCCACCUCCGCCGUCUGUGGAAGACCGGCGAUUCAGCGGCGCCGCUCCAUUCACAACGCCGCUACUGCUGCUACACGAUCCCCUCCGAGGCAGCAAGCGCUGCUGUCAUCAUCGUCGUCUUGGCUCGACUGAACAGGGUCGCGUCCCUCGUCGUCGAAAAGUUAGUAUUCUACUUGUUAUUGUAGAAAGUGUUUGAUGUUGCUUGUGAUUUCUGAGUUCAUGCCAUAAUAAUCGAGGCAUAGGUGACUUCUCUCUAAGAUUCCUAAAGUGAGAUAUUAAACAAAAUGUUAUAUGUUUCUAAGUUAGUAAUUACUUUAAAUUAAGUAAAAUGAUGGCAGGAAUCAUAGCUUCAGCCCAAAGCUUCGAUUUUUGACCCUCCCUCAAGAACCCCAGAAUUUCAUCUUCUUUAUAUUUGUAUCAAUUGACUAUGUAUACAUGUCUAUAUGUAUGUGAAGAAUUGAUUGGGAUUUAUUUGGGUAUUUAUUCACAAGAAAACAUGAUUCCCUAAUAGUUUAGUUUAAGUGGAUUUGGGAGUUCUUGGAAUAAGCUAGCUACAUGUUUGAUGCUUGUGUAAUUGUACUCCUUGAAUUGUAAAAUGAGAUUAUAUGACAAUAGUUGGAGGAUAUCAAGCAUGCUACUAUAUGUUGAUGUGUUGAACAUGAAUUACGUUUAAGCUAAAGCAUGCUAAUGUGUAGUAAGAUGAUGUAUUUGAGUUACUAUAGCUUUUAUUUGAUAAAAAUAUGAGUUAUAUGUUGAGUUGAGAUGAAGAAGGUAUUGCUGUUGGUUUUGCUGUACAGGACAGUACCUUGUAAGGUAUUUUCGGGAGUGUUCCUGUGAUCCAAAUAACUUGAAUUUUACUGUAUAACUUCAUCAUGAGUAGUAGAUCUCUGCAAAUUUCAGCUAAAUCCGAGACCAAUAGACAUGUCAAACUAUUUUCUGAAAUGUACUGCGUGAAGCAGCGUAGUUCAGUGGCAGAUUCUACCUUUGGUGAUAUAACUUCUUAUACACUUGAGAUAUUGUAUUUUUGUAAAUUUCUAAGAAAUAUAGACGUUAAUAGCUUUCUAAAAAGGUAAAGCUCGUAUUUUUCCUUGAAGCGAUUGAUUUUAUAUGAUUUUCCAAAGUUAGGAUUCAAAUGUGUAUGUGUCUUGAUUAAACUUGUGAUUGGUAGUUAAUUGAGAUCCUACACUACUAAACUUGAAUUGAGGUUUUAUUGUUCUAACUACCUAUUGAGGAUUAUUGAUUACUAAAGCUUGUUAAUAUGAUAGUUGAUGGACAUAAUUAUGUUUAUAUGAUUAAUUACUUUGGGAUUUUGUGUUUUACAUGUAUGGUUAGUUGUAAACUGAUCUCUAUGGAAUGGAUUUGUUUACUUCUAAACUUUCUCAAGUAGAGGAAUUCCUAUAAGAUAGGAAUAUUAGUUUAUACUUUCUUAAAGUUCAUAAGAGUUAGUAUAUUGGUUAGUUUAGUUGAUUCAACCCUAGCUCUGCAGAAGAUUAAAAGUUUAUUGGGAUGUUAUUUAUAGCUAAUUCUUCUUAUCUAGUUAUCCAAUCUUAUUUUAGAAUCUUGCUAUUAUGAAGGUGACAGUAGCAAUGAUAGAUAAGUGAGCAAGAGUUUCUACAUCGUUAAGCGUAUCAGGUGGGCUUUCUAAACUCAUAAUUUGAAGUGCGCACUAUUUAAUUAUGUUAUUAUAUGAAUGAAGUUAUAUUAAAGUUAUUGACUUGCCAAAACUUUUAUGAGCUUGUAUGUUACCAUCUACGAGAGAUAGACGAUAUCGGCCCUAUGCUGAAGCGAGAUGUCAGUAAGGGUUUGUGCACAUAGUUGUGACCGUGAGUCAUCGAGCGGGUUGGCCGGUCACUGUGAUCGGGAGCCUUCGGGCCGAUCACUGUGUUUGAGAAGGAGGCCUACUUCUCAACACAAGGUUACAUGAUGCGUAGUUAUGGUACAUACAUGUUAAUUGUCUGCAGACGUAUAUGAUAUUAUGAUGAUAUAUAUAUAGAAGUUUUACAGUUUUGGCGUGCACAGGUUAUUUAAAUAAAACUCCUGUGUGAUGCUUGAGAUGGCAAGUUCAAUAUAUAGCUCUAAGAGCAAACUUUAAAGUUAUUUCGGCAUGUGACCAUUGAGUACCUUUUUAGUACUCAGCCCUGCAUAUGUUUCUAAAUGUGCAGGUUAAGCUGUGAUGCAGAUGGAGGCGAGCAGAGCAAAGCUUUUGAAGUAUAAGUAUUAAAUUAGGCUCAGGAUUUCAUGUCUUCAUACAUGUAAUCCACUUAAGUUAUUCCGCUGCAACACUUAGUGUAUUUUACUUUAUUGAUGUGUUGUACAGAUUUUAAACCAAUAGCUUCGAAAAUUAUGUCACUUGAAAAUUUGACAACUUGUCGUUAUGUAUUGUGAGUUGUCUGCUUUGAGUUUUAGAAAAGAUUGUUUAUGAUUACCAAAUAUUUAGGUAAAUUAUUGUUUAAGCAAGAUGAUUAUUUUUAUUGAAACCUCUUUUAUUUUCCAUUUUCUUUUUCCAUUUCCCCAGUCACAUUUUCCCCGGCUUAACUGUUGUUAGCUUAGGUCGGGCUGUGACAGAGUGGUAUCAGAGCAGGUCAUUUGCUCUGAGCCUAAAUAUCCUUUUGAGUCUAGUCUAAAUUUGAAUCUUUGGACUAGUAUGAGUAAUAUAGUAAAAGCUCUGCUCUCCAUCUCAUCCAGCUUAGCCAGGUACGGAUUUUUCAGAGUUUUAAAGUAGCAUGUUACAUUUUUAAACAAGUUUGAGAUAUGAGUUGCAGUUUUGCAAGUAUUAGUAUGAUGGAAACUUAUAUAUUUUAAAAUGAGCAUGGACAACAUGAGUUAUUUUUGAGUAUCCUCUGCCUAUACGAACUUUUGGAUUUGAAUGGAUAAAAGUGUUAUUCAUAUAUUAAUAUUUAUAUUUUGAUAUGUGGAUGGAGAUAUAGACAGUUUGAUGAUACAAUAAUGAUGUAUAUCAGUCGCGAUGUAACCUAGUACUAGUAGUGAUGUUAUACAGUUAGGGCACCACAAUUAGUACUAAGAGCUUUUUGCAACAUAUAUUCCUAUCUUUCGUAUGAGAACUCAUUGAGGCAAAUUUUCCCAUGAUAUGAAACGACCGAAGUAGUCAUUUACUAGGUUGUUGAGCUUUAAUUGCUUAGAUGAUUGAAAUUUUGUGUAUGAGUUUUAUACUUUAGUUGGUUUAUAGUUAUGUAGCAGUUUGACUUUACGGAUGGAAUAAAAGCUCAAUUAUGGGGAUUUUGUGUAUUUACUCGGCAUGAUAUCUCAAAGAAGAAAUGGAAAUUUGCCAUCCGCCAUGUGAAUAAUUUAGAGGAAAGUUUUUCAUCAUCAAGAUCCCCCUAUUCAUAGUAGAGUUUCACGAGUUUCGCUUCCUUAGAUGCAAUGAUCAAGAGCGCCUUCUUGUAUGUUAUUUCAACUACAAGGAUCGACUGAUUCUUAGUGGGAGACGAAGCAGAAGAUACAUACCCUCGAGCGAUUAGAGAAUCUUAUUUGGGGC